AUGGCUCAGGAUGAACGCCGGCGGUGUGCCUAAUACAUGCAAGUCGAACGCGUUGGCCCAAUUGAUUGAUGGUGCUUGCACCUGAUUGAUUUUGGUCGCCAACGAGUGGCGGACGGGUGAGUAACACGUAGGUAACCUGCCCAGAAGCGGGGGACAACAUUUGGAAACAGAUGCUAAUACCGCAUAACAGCGUUGUUCGCAUGAACAACGCUUAAAAGAUGGCUUCUCGCUAUCACUUCUGGAUGGACCUGCGGUGCAUUAGCUUGUUGGUGGGGUAACGGCCUACCAAGGCGAUGAUGCAUAGCCGAGUUGAGAGACUGAUCGGCCACAAUGGGACUGAGACACGGCCCAUACUCCUACGGGAGGCAGCAGUAGGGAAUCUUCCACAAUGGGCGCAAGCCUGAUGGAGCAACACCGCGUGAGUGAAGAAGGGUUUCGGCUCGUAAAGCUCUGUUGUUAAAGAAGAACACGUAUGAGAGUAACUGUUCAUACGUUGACGGUAUUUAACCAGAAAGUCACGGCUAACUACGUGCCAGCAGCCGCGGUAAUACGUAGGUGGCAAGCGUUAUCCGGAUUUAUUGGGCGUAAAGAGAGUGCAGGCGGUUUUCUAAGUCUGAUGUGAAAGCCUUCGGCUUAACCGGAGAAGUGCAUCGGAAACUGGAUAACUUGAGUGCAGAAGAGGGUAGUGGAACUCCAUGUGUAGCGGUGGAAUGCGUAGAUAUAUGGAAGAACACCAGUGGCGAAGGCGGCUACCUGGUCUGCAACUGACGCUGAGACUCGAAAGCAUGGGUAGCGAACAGGAUUAGAUACCCUGGUAGUCCAUGCCGUAAACGAUGAGUGCUAGGUGUUGGAGGGUUUCCGCCCUUCAGUGCCGGAGCUAACGCAUUAAGCACUCCGCCUGGGGAGUACGACCGCAAGGUUGAAACUCAAAGGAAUUGACGGGGGCCCGCACAAGCGGUGGAGCAUGUGGUUUAAUUCGAAGCUACGCGAAGAACCUUACCAGGUCUUGACAUCUUGCGCCAACCCUAGAGAUAGGGCGUUUCCUUCGGGAACGCAAUGACAGGUGGUGCAUGGUCGUCGUCAGCUCGUGUCGUGAGAUGUUGGGUUAAGUCCCGCAACGAGCGCAACCCUUGUUACUAGUUGCCAGCAUUAAGUUGGGCACUCUAGUGAGACUGCCGGUGACAAACCGGAGGAAGGUGGGGACGACGUCAGAUCAUCAUGCCCCUUAUGACCUGGGCUACACACGUGCUACAAUGGACGGUACAACGAGUCGCGAACUCGCGAGGGCAAGCAAAUCUCUUAAAACCGUUCUCAGUUCGGACUGCAGGCUGCAACUCGCCUGCACGAAGUCGGAAUCGCUAGUAAUCGCGGAUCAGCAUGCCGCGGUGAAUACGUUCCCGGGCCUUGUACACACCGCCCGUCACACCAUGAGAGUUUGUAACACCCAAAGUCGGUGGGGUAACCUUUUAGAGCCAGCCGCCUAAGUGGG
rnacentral:rRNA from 2 species